GAGGCUAACUUCAUGCGAAUCGAAUGCUUGUGACAAAUGUCAAAUUUUUGUAUUCAAAACAAAUAAGUACAAUUUAUAGAAAGUACAAGUUUCCACGAACCGAAAGAAAAAACAAUGUGGGUGGGCUUAUUGAUCAUCACAAAAUGAGUCUACAAACUGAUAAUUUAUUUCUCAAUUGGGAUACAAUCAUUUAAGACGCUUAGAAUUGUUUUGAAUAUCCAAACAAUAUGGAUUCAGUUCCUAUAUUACUAGUCACCGCAAAUGUGGGUUCGAUUUUUGACGAUCCAACGGAUUUAUUGAAAAUAUGGAUAGCCGAAUUCUUAUCGAAAAUUUCAAAUAUGGACGUGAAAUUUAUAGCUGUACAUUGUCAAGAAGUUGGCGGAAAAAAGUACGAGAAGUCCAUGAAACAUGUAGACUCUUUCGUGAAAACUCUUUUAAACAGCAAUGAACUGAAAAGUUUCAAUAAAGUUUGUGUAUUUCUUGACGAAGAUUUCAGUUCAGUCCAACAUUUCACUGCUUUGGGGAGUUUAUAUUUUGUUCAUGAAACUGUUGACGCUUCGAUUUGGAAUUUUAAAGAAUCUAAAUUUGUUCCACUAGCAGAGAAGCAAGUGUAUUCUGGCAAUAUUGAAGCUGUACCCAUAAAAGAAAAAGCAAAAUUUCCUCAACAUUUUUUUCCAGAAUGUAAGUGGUCUAGAAAAGGAUAUAUGCGAACUCGUUGGUCAAUUUUCGGCACAAUUUUCGAUCUGAUAAACAUUCAUCUGUUUCACGAUGCUUCAAAUCUAGUCGCCAUGACUACGUAUCCGUCGGUUUAUAGUAAAAAUCGCAAAUACGCUUUGGAACACACGCUGCAGCGAUUCCACAAUGACCAAUAUGAAAAUGUUCCGUAUUUUGUUUUUGGAGACUUUAAUUUUCGUACUGAUACAAAGGGUGUUAUUAACAAAUUAACAGACGGGUUGAUAAAAUCUAGAAUACAAAAUACCAAAAAUAAUGACCAAACUAAAUUGCAGUAUACAAAUGAAGAAAAUGUAAUUUUAAGUAUUGGCAAAAAGGAAUUCAGUCAUAGCGACCAUGAAAAUAUGUUUUUGGAUUAUAAUUGGUUGCGAUCAUUUGACAAAGAAAUUGACGCCUUCAAGGAUAUUUUGGCCGAAUUUCCGCUGGUAUUUGCACCCUCGUACCCUUUCGAGGAACAGGUGUCCAAAGCCAAUAGCUACAUGCCGACCCGGUGCCCAGCCUGGUGCGACAGAGUUUUACUUAGUCACUCCGCCAAAGAAAUAAUUAAAGUAGACCACCCUGUAGAGUACGGACUGUUGGGUCCUAACACCUGCAUGGGGGACCAUAAACCUGUGUACCUUAAACUAAAGCUGGCGAAAGACGCAGGAAUAGUACCUCACAAAUGCACUGCUCCUGUUUUGUCUAUAGACGAAGACAAGAAACGAGAAUCACACGAUUCUUUGAGCGAAUACAUUUACAUAAAAAAUAUAGUGCAUUCAGUAAAAGUUCUUAAGGAAUCCUCCCUUUAAGAUCUCAUAUACGUGUUCAUUCUAAGCUUAGACAAACCAAACCAAAGAAAUGUAUCAUUUAAAGUCCUUGUCGUUAAAUGUUUUGUGCAAUAUACGCAAAUAUAUAUGGAACUGUCCGAAAAUGCUUACCCAGAAACAGACCAAUUUUGUGAACAAAGUAGCCGCAGAAUAUGGUUUUAACAAAUUUAAACUCAAAAUUGAAGCAGGGUCUAAGAAAGGGGAUAACUAUCUGGGAAUAAUAUUUUCUGUGAAGAUUUUGGAAGGAGACAGACAAAAAUCGUUGAUAAUAAAGUGCGCAGAUAAAAA
rnacentral:misc_RNA from 1 species